rnacentral:tRNA from 1 species
GCUUUGGUGGUUCAGUGGUAGAAUUCUCACUUUCCAUGUGGGAGACCUAGGUUCCAUUCCUGGCCAACGCA